rnacentral:SRP_RNA from 1 species
GCCGGGCGUAGUGGCGGGCGCCUGUAGUCCCAGCUACUCAGGAGGCUGAGGCAGGAGAACGGCAUGAACCUGGGAGGCAGAGCUUGCAGUGAGCCGAGAUCGCGCCACUGCACUCCAGCCUGGGCGACAAAGCAAGACUCCGUCUCAAGGGGGAAAAAAAAAGCCAAUUCUUCAAAGCUAUAAUUUCUUUUUUUUGAAACAGGGUCUCACUCUGUCACCCAGAAUGGAGUGCAGUGGCAUGAUCUCAGCUCACUGCAACCUCUGCCUCCCAGGUUCAAAUGAUUCUCCUGCCUCA